GGAGGCGUACCGAAGUGGCCGUAACGGGGCGCUCUCGAAAAGCGUUUGUCGGGUGACCGACACGUGGGUUCGAAUCCCACCGCCUCCGCCA
rnacentral:tRNA from 1 species